UGCCUUCCUUUUUGUUCACAACAUAAGAAUAAAAAACCCAUCAAAAUGCAUGGUAAAUAAAUGUGACCUAGAAGAUUGAGUCAAUGAGCUAGAGAUACUACCACAUGUGGUAAUUAUUCAAAGAUUUUAUUUAUUAUUUGUUGGCCACUUGAUUAAAAGUUGAUUUGGGUAUUUGAGACGAGGAAUUUGAAUACUGUAUGUUCGAGAACGUUAUAUGUUGUUGUCUUCGAUCAUUUCAUGGUUUCUAGCCUUAGCAUACUAAAUGAAGGUUUUUCGCAUAGAGAUAUGUUUUUGGAGAAGUCCUAUAAUACUUUACACUGAAUGAUAAAAUUUAAAUAAUAGAUCGGAAGAGCGUCGUGUAGGGAAAGAGUGUAGAUCUCGGUGGUCUCCGUAUCAUUAAAAAAAAAAAUAACAUAACAAAUCAGAGAACGUAUAUUCAACUCAAUUGAUAUCUUUUGAAAUAUGUAAUUUAGUGGGAUUCGAACUUGAAACGAGACGAUGAGAGGAUGAAGAGGAGGGGAGGAAGAAAGGAAUCAAAAGUUUGGUGGUGGGGUUGCUAUGCUUAGCUGGUGACAGAAGAUAAAAUGCAUGCUAAGGGUUAAAAAAGGGAAGAAGAAGAAGAAGAAACCACAUGGUAGACAAGAAGAUGUAAGUGUACAUUCACAUCACCCCCAAUUCACAUGCUACACAAACCCCAUGUGAGAACUUCACCUUUUGUUUCUUAUUUCUUUCUAGUUUUUACCCUUUUCCCUCUUUCAAUUUUCCACUCUUCUUACCAUGUAAAAAAUUAACAUGAUUUUCCCAAGUCUAAUAGAUUUGAAAAAUCAACUUUCUAGCCAACCAAAAUUCAUCGAUUAUUAACCUAAAUAACUGAUUAUAUAUCACUCCUACAUAAGAAAGAAUAGUAUAAUUCCUGGUUAACUUAGCAACUCAAUCUGUAAUGGCUAUCUAAAUAUGUAUCAUCCAAUAUGUCAUGGACGACGAUGAUUUACAAGAACAUUAACCAGCAAGAGCCUAUCUAAA
rnacentral:lncRNA from 1 species